UUUGUCAUAAUCAGUUCAAUAGUUUUAGUAAAAUCUGGUAUAAUGAAAGACGAGAUUUACAGCAGUACGAGAAAUUUCUUCGACAAUUCCAAACCAAACCGCAUCAUUAUAGAAUAUAUGAUGUGGUCCAAUAAAUGAUCAAAUAUUUAUCUCUUCUGCCUACAAACAAUUGAAUAUGAUACAAAAGAUGAUUUUGGGAAGAUGAAUACCACUAAUGGACCUCUGAGUCUUCUUUAUAAGGUCUCUUUUGGUCCAUUUAUACCUCUCAUUUCCUCAAAAUUUCCACUUUUC
rnacentral:lncRNA from 1 species